GUCCCCAGAGCUGUGAUGUUAGGGCUGGUUCGGCCUCGUCUGACACAGGAUGUGUGCAGUGGAUGAGGAGGGGGGGUUUGGUUUCAACUUUUUAAAAACUUUUUUUGGUUUCAACUUUUUAGGUCCGGUAAAGUGGGGAUUGGGACUGUAAACAUGUUAAUAUUGGGCUGUGGUAGGGCUGUGGUAGGGCUGUGGUAAGGCUGUGGUAGGGCCAUGGUAGGGCUGUGGUAAGGCUGUGGUAGGGCUGUGGCAAGGCUGUGGUAGGGCUGUGGUAAGUCUGUGGUAGGGCUGUGGUAAGGCUGUUGUAGGGCUGUGGUAAGUCUGUGGUAGGGCUGUGGUAAGGCUGUGGUAGGGCUGUGGUAAGUCUGUGGUAGGGCUGUGGUAAGGCUGUGGUAGGGCUGUGGUAAGUCUGUGGUAGGGCUGUUGUAGGGCUGUAGUA
ensembl:lncRNA